CCUUCCCAGCGAAGAAGGAUGAGGGACGGAAGCGGCUCCAUAAGGGCUCACUUCUGUCCCUCCUCCUGCUUCACUGGGAAGGC